GACGAACGCUGGCGGCGUGCUUAACACAUGCAAGUCGAACGGAAAGGCCCUGCUUUUGUGGGGUGCUCGAGUGGCGAACGGGUGAGUAACACGUGAGUAACCUGCCCUUGACUUUGGGAUAACUUCAGGAAACUGGGGCUAAUACCGGAUAGGAGCUCCUGCUGCAUGGUGGGGGUUGGAAAGUUUCGGCGGUUGGGGAUGGACUCGCGGCUUAUCAGCUUGUUGGUGGGGUAGUGGCUUACCAAGGCUUUGACGGGUAGCCGGCCUGAGAGGGUGACCGGGCACAUUGGGACUGAGAUACGGCCCAGAGUCGUACGGGGGGCAGCAGUGGGGAAUAUUGCGCAAUGGGGGGGAGCCUGAUGCAGCAACGCCGCGUGCGGGAUGACGGCCUUCGGGUUGUAAACCGAUUUCGCCUGUGACGAAGCGUGAGUGACGGUAAUGGGUAAAGAAGCACCGGCUAACUACGUG
rnacentral:rRNA from 1 species